rnacentral:rRNA from 1 species
AUUGAACGCUGGCGGCAUGCCUAACACAUGCAAGUCGAGCGAGCGGCGGACGGGUGAGUAGUGUCUUAGAAACUGCCCGAUGGACGGGGAUAACUACUGGAAACGGUAGCUAAUACCGCAUACCAUCGGCUGUGGCCAGAUGGGAUUAGCUUGUAGGUGAGGUAACGGCUCACCUAGGCGCCGAUGCCUAGCUGGGCUGAGAGGAUGACCAGCCACCCGGGAAUUGGGACCGGCCCCGGACUCCACGGGGGGGAGGAGUAGGGGAAUAUUGCACAAUGGGCGCAAGCCGGAGGCGCCCAUGCCGGGUGUAUGAGGCAGGCUUCCGGGUUGUAAAGUAUUUUAAGCGGGGCGGCGUUACCGGCAGAAGAAGCAACGGCUAACGCCGUGCCAGCAGCCGCGGUAAUAC